UAACAGGAUUAGAUACCCUGGUAGUCCACCCCGUAAACGUUGGGAACUAGUUGUGGGGACCAUUCCACGGUUUCCGUGACGCAGCUAACGCAUUAAGUUCCCCGCCUGGGGAGUACGGCCGCAAGGCUAAAACUCAAAGGAAUUGACGGGGACCCGCACAAGCGGCGGAGCAUGCGGAUUAAUUCGAUGCAACGCGAAGAACCUUACCAAGGCUUGACAUAUACGAGAACGGGCCAGAAAUGGUCAACUCUUUGGACACUCGUAAACAGGUGGUGCAUGGUUGUCGUCAGCUCGUGUCGUGAGAUGUUGGGUUAAGUCCCGCAACGAGCGCAACCCUCGUUCUAUGUUGCCAGCACGUAAUGGUGGGAACUCAUGGGAUACUGCCGGGGUCAACUCGGAGGAAGGUGGGGAUGACGUCAAAUCAUCAUGCCCCUUAUGUCUUGGGCUUCACGCAUGCUACAAUGGCCGGUACAAAGGGCUGCAAUACCGUGAGGUGGAGCGAAUCCCAAAAAGCCGGUCCCAGUUCGGAUUGAGGUCUGCAACUCGACCUCAUGAAGUCGGAGUCGCUAGUAAUCGCAGAUCAGCAACGCUGCGGUGAAUACGUUCCCGGGUCUUGUACACACCGCCCGUCAAGUCAUGAAAGUCGGUAACACCUGAAGCCGGUGGCCCAACCCUUGUGGAGGGAGCCGUCGAAGGUGGGAUCGGUAAUUAGGACUAAGUCGUAAACAAGGUAACCA
rnacentral:rRNA from 1 species